rnacentral:rRNA from 1 species
GACGAACGCUGGCGGCGUGCUUAACACAUGCAAGUCGAACGGAAAGGCCCCUUUAGGGGUGCUCGCGUGGCGCACGGGGGAGUAACACGUGAGUAACCUUCCCUUGACUUCGGGGUAACUUCAGGGAACUGGGUCUAAUACCCGCUAGGAAUCCUUGCUGGAUGGUGGGGGUUGGAAAGCUUCUGCGGUUUUGGAGGGACUGGCGGCUUAUCAGCUUGUUGGUGGGGUAGUGGCUUACCAAGGCUUUGACGGGUAGCCGGCCUGAGAGGGCGACCGGCCACACUGGGACUGAGGUAAGGCCCCGACGGCUAAGGGUGGACGAAGGGGGGAAGACUGAACAAUGGGCGGAGGGCGGAUGAAGAAAGGCCGCGGGCGGGAUGACGGUCUUGGGGUUGAAAAAAGCGUUUAGCAGGGGAGAAGAUGGUGGUGACGGUACCUGAAGAAGAAGCACCGGCUAACUACGUG